UGAAAUUUGAAAAAAACCGAAAAUACAUAGUUUUGUAAAAAAAAUGUAUAUUCUAAAAAGGUUUUAAUUACAUUUGAAAUGUAUGGCAAAAUUCUGAUCGUUUGAUGCCCAUAUUGUAAAACACUGAAAUUUGGAGUAUUUUUUCAAAAAUACGUAGUUUUUAGAAAAUUUUGAGUUUUUUCAAAAAUGUUGUUUUUGCAUUUAAAUUGUAUGCAAAUAAAAUAAUUUGAUACUUAUAUUGCAAUAAAUAUAAUCUUGAAUAUUUUUUCGAGAAACGUAUUUUUGUGAAAAUUUUCAUGUGAUUAUAAUUGAAAUGGAUAGCUGCCAUCAACCCGAUUCCAAAACACUAUAAUUUUUUGAUGUUUGCAUGAUUUUUCAUAUGAUAAUAGUCAAUGUCUCCAUAUAUAUAGCCAAAAUCCCAUAAGCUCUGUGCUUCAGUUAAGCACUGGACCGUGCUUAACCGAGGCAGAUGAUCGAAGCAAAACCGGGGCAGUGCAAAACCGAGGCGUGCAAAACCGGGGCAUGACUGUAUAAGGUUUGGAAACAUUUAAGAUGUUAGCAGUAACUGAAACAGUGGUGCAAGUAUUAAAAUUGAGUUUUCAUGGGAAAUAUUGAAAAUUCACCACUUUUAUCUUACUAAAAUGACUGUAUCUUGGCAUUGAAUUGACGAAAAUAAAUUGGUAAAAAUGCACUUUUUUCAAAAACCGACAAGAUGUUGGUAUUGGUUUUAGAGAUAUUCAUUAAAAUUUCAGGCAUUUUCAAACUUAAAUAUGCUGCCAUUGAAAUUAUUUCGUAAUUUAAAAAUUACUUUAUCUCAGAGCCGUUGCAUCGUAUCAAAAAGUGAGCAAAGGCAAACUUGUAAGAAUUGGACAAGCUUUCUGAAAAAAACCACGAAGAGAAAAAUACACACCACUUCUAUGAGUUUUGCUUACAAAUUUUAAGUUUCAAAGUUAAACUUUAAGGUAAUGCCAAAAAAUGGUCGAAAAUAUAAUUCAUAUACCAUGGCUCCAUAUACAUAAAAAUGGCUUAUAUAAGCCCAGGAUAACAUGUCUACAAAGUUUCAUUGUUAUUGGAGAGGGUCGGGUACAACAUUAUCAGAAAAUUUUCUGAUUUGAGCUGGAAUUGCUCGAUAAAAAAGUUGAAUAAAAUAAAUACUUUAUUUUCUAAAAAGUCGUUACCCGUGCUUUCCAACCCAUAGUCACAUGCCUAUUUUGCAUGACCAGCCCGUUAUAUUGUAUUAAAUCUUGAAUGGAAAAAAUAUCGAUGCAAAAUGGCUUCUUUUGACAUAGGGAAUGCAUGUACAAACUUUCAUCCAAACAACAAAAUACAACAUGAAAGAUGUGGAAAAAAGUAAAUCGAAGAGAACUACUCUAGUUUAUCUAAAAAGUUAUUUGAAUCAUUAAUUAGCUUUAAUUAAUCUCAAAAAAAAUAUUUAUAUUUAAAACGCGAACCAAUUCAUAUUUGCAUCUUCAAUUUAAAAAAAAUCAGACCAAAAAUGACUAUUCUUCUUGUUGCUAGGUUUGGAACUGAUUAUUAAUUCCCUCAAUUGUUUAGUUGUUUAAAUAAUAUUCAAUCUUUUUAUACAUCAUCGUAACAUAUUUUUCAUCAGACACUGUCGAUAAAAAAAACGCAGACGUUUUACGCUCGUGCCAUGGAAAAUUUCCACCACCCACAGCUCACUCUCAGCUUUUAAUCGAAUUCCACAGCAGUGCCAGCUGCCAGCUCCAGCACAACCCACCAUUAGGAGCCACACGGCGGCACCCAUCUGAAAGCAGUUUCACAAAUAUUUUCAUUUUUUUUUCUUGGAGAAAGAGAGCGGUCUGGGGGUUUCUUUUAUUUUUCCAUGAAUUAAAUUUUCCAAUUUCCAUCCACUUCGCUUUUGUUCGCCUUGUUAGAGUGUUAUUUAAUUUUUCUUUCAAUAUUUUAAUCGUUUAUCACUGCAAUUCGAAUUCAACAAAUAUUUUUAAAGUUUGAAAAAUUAAUUGCGAAAGAGUUGCUUGACAAAAUUCUUCCUUACACACUAAAAAAAUAUGAAAAUUACUCUUGACGUAAUUGAAACAUUGACUGAAAUUAAAAGCACGUAUCAAAAAAAUCAACCUAAUUUUACAUCUUACCAGACGUAAUCGCCAAACAAUUUUGCAAAACCCAAAUUCUUGAUUAUAUGGGCAAUUUUACUGGAUAUUAAUAUUAAUUAAAUGUAAUUUUGUGUCUCUUAUGAUGCACAUAGCUGGAGCAUAUGAUUUGUCUGAAUAUUCAAUCAUGUUACUUAAUUUUAAAUACAUCAGUUCUAUUUGAAUUUCACCCGUUUUUGCUGCUUUGCAUCGCUGCGUGCACGAUUGUCAAAGUCAGCCAUCUUGAACUGUGCGAUCACAACAGUCGCGUGAAAAUUUUAUUUGCUGCUAAGGUGUUUUGGCAACCAGAACCCUUCGAAAUCUUUUGGCAGUUUUGUGUGCCUUAGAGGAGACUUGAUGUCCGGUACCCGAGAGCUAUUUGCCAGUUCCGGUACUCAAGCAGAUUCCGGAGGGGGAUCGCUAAUUUCAAGACUGCUGCAGUACAAUGCGGAAAUCCUUUGGCAGCUUGUUCAGGAACCACUUUCUGAAAUUUCUCUACGAGCAUCACCAAGAUCGACAAGCCUCCAGAAGUAGCCGUCCGUCGCAUCCAAGCAAAUGCGCCAGCAAAAAAGAC